UAUUAUAAUAUGAAUACGCUAUCAUAAAAACGAAGGAGCUGGGCUGAAAUGGGAACUAUCAUUUGCCAAGACUGUCAGCAGGUAAUUGAGCAUUUUGAUGAUGAGAAAGUAACAACCCUAUAUGGCGCUUGUCCUGAUUGUAAAUAAUAUAAAAAUGAGUGGCAUCCUAAGCGGUGCCACUCAUUUUUAU
rnacentral:sRNA from 1 species